CAGCAGCCGCGGGAAUACGUAGGGUGCGAGCGUUAAUCGGAAUUACUGGGCGUAAAGCGUGCGCAGGCGGUUUGUUAAGACAGAUGUGAAAUCCCCGGGCUUAACCUGGGAACUGCAUUUGUGACUGGCCGGCUAGAGUAUGGCAGAGGGAGGUGGAAUUCCACGUGUAGCAGUGAAAUGCGUAGAUAUGUGGAGGAACACCGAUGGCGAAGGCAGCCUCCUGGGCCUGUACUGACACUGAGACACGAAAGCGUGGGGAUCAAACAGGAUUAGAGACCCCAGUAGUCCCUGUCUCUUAUAA
rnacentral:rRNA from 1 species